rnacentral:rRNA from 1 species
AUUGAACGCUGGCGGCAGGCCUAACACAUGCAAGUCGAGCGGAUGAGGGAAGCUUGCUUCCCGAUUUAGCGGCGGACGGGUGAGUAAUGCCUAGGAAUCUGCCUAUUAGUGGGGGAUAACGUUCCGAUAGGAACGCUAAUACCGCAUACGUCCUACGGGAGAAAGUGGGGGAUCUUCGGACCUCACGCUAAUAGAUGAGCCUAGGUCGGAUUAGCUAGUUGGUGGGGUAACGGCUCACCAAGGCGACGAUCCGUAGCUGGUCUGAGAGGAUGAUCAGCCACUCUGGAACUAAAACACGGUCCAGACUCCGACGGGAGGCAGCAGUGGGGAAUAUUGGACAAUGGGCGAAAGCCUGAUCCAGCCAUGCCGCGUGUGUGAAGAAGGUCUUCGGAUUGUAAAGCACUUUAAGUUGGGAGGAAGGGUUGUAAGCUAAUAUCUUGCAGCUUUGACGUUACCAACAGAAUAAGCACCGGCUAACUCUGUGCCAGCCGCCGCCGUAACAC